UACGUAGGGGGCAAGCGUUGUCCGGAUUUAUUGGGCGUAAAGCGCUCGCAGGUGGUUCGUCGCGUCGUGCGUGAAAGACCCCGGCUCAACGGGGGGGCGUCGUGCGAAACGGGCGGACUGGAGGCCAGUAGGGGGAUGCGGAAUUCCGGGUGUAGUGGUGGAAUGCGUAGAGAUCCGGAGGAACACCAGCGGCGAAGGCGGCAUCCUGGACUGGUCCUGACACUCAUGAGCGAAAGCGUGGGGAGCGAUCCGG
rnacentral:rRNA from 1 species